UGGGGAAUUUUGGACAAUGGGGGCAACCCUGAUCCAGCAAUGCCGCGUGUGUGAAGAAGGCCUUCGGGUUGUAAAGCACUUUUGUCCGGAAAGAAAACUUCGGGGCUAAUACCCCUGGAGGAUGACGGUACCGGAAGAAUAAGCACCGGCUAACUACGUGCCAGCAGCCGCGGUAAUACGUAGGGUGCGAGCGUUAAUCGGAAUUACUGGGCGUAAAGCGUGCGCAGGCGGUGCUGUAAGACCGAUGUGAAAUCCCCGGGCUUAACCUGGGAACUGCAUUGGUGACUGCAGCGCUGGAGUAUGGCAGAGGGGGGUGGAAUUCCACGUGUAGCAGUGAAAUGCGUAGAGAUGUGGAGGAACACCGAUGGCGAAGGCAGCCCCCUGGGCCAAUACUGACGCUCAUGCACGAAAGCGUGUGGAGCAAACAGG
rnacentral:rRNA from 1 species